GUUGAGAUUGCUAGAUCAUAUCAUUUAUCUAUUGUUAAUUUUUAAAGGAACUUCCAAACUAUUUUCCAUAAUGAAUGUACUAAUUUACAUUUCUGCAAACAGU
rnacentral:pre_miRNA from 1 species